rnacentral:lncRNA from 1 species
ACAUAAUCAAUUCACCCACUACAUAAUUUUCCUAGCCAUGCAACCAUGACACAUAAGCAAGUAUGCAUGCAAGACAUAAAUAACAUCUUUUGUAUUACUAUACACAUGCAAUGGUGCCACAAAAUCAAUUCACCCACUACAUAAUUUUCCUAGCCAUGCAACCAUGACACAUAAGCAAGUAUGCAUGCAAGACAUAAAUAACAUUUUUUGUAUUACUCUACAUAUGCAAUGGUGUCACAUAAUCAAUUCAUGCAUAUUAGUCAUGAGUAGUUUUUUACAUUAGAG